rnacentral:lncRNA from 1 species
CAUGCUCUGCCUCAUCAAAAUGCUGCCCUUCUAGAUUAUCAAAAUCUUCUGAACAUAUUGUUUCUCCAUCAUCAGUGAAAAUGGAGGAAGACAUUUUCCGGUGAUGGUGCACCGGCAUAGGUGGUGAUUUUGUAUCAAAUAUGGAGCCCUUAAGUGCCUCCUCUAUGAGGAAAUCUUCAUCUUCAUCCUUGGGCUUAACUGGUAUUUUCAGCUCUUCUAGGUCAAAACUAAAGGUGUUCCUCGCUUUCUUACCAUCAUGAUGCUCCUUCAGGGGUGGUUUCUGUGCUUUAACUUCUGCCACCUCCUUGUCUUCUGCUUUCACCUUGGCCGUUGGUUUAUGAGUCUUAACCUCUGCAACCUCCUUGUCUUCUGCUUUCACCUUAGCAUUUGGUUUAUGUGUCUUAACCUCUGCCACUUCCUUGUCUUCUGGUUUCACUUUGGCCGUUGGUUUAUGAGUCUUAACCUCUGCCACCUCCUUCUCUUCUGUUUUGACUUCCUUUGCUGAGACCGUAGAGAGCAAAUACUUCAGUUCCUUGAUGUUCUCAUUAGCAGCAGCUUCACUGACCCGAAGGCGUUCGUUUUCUCGGGUGAAAAAAUCCAAAGCAUCAUCUUUUUCAGUCAGGCAAUCCUUGAGUUGGGAAUUUUCUGCCCUGGCAAUCCCUGCUGCUUCUUUUGCCACAUUAGAUUCGUUUAGGGCCUGUCUAAGGAUAUCCCGCAACUUGUGAUUCUCUUCCCUUGAUGCCUUCUUCAUGUCCUCAGCAGCUUUCAUCGACUCCGUCAUUCUAGUAUUCUCUUGUUGUAUGGCAAUCUUUUCCUCUUCAGCCUCUUUCAUGCAAUUGACAAAUUCAGUUUCCUUCAAAUUCCAGGCCAGAAGUGAUUCCUCGGCUUCUGAUCUCAAUCGCUCUGAAAUGUUCCUAUAACAUUCCAUUUCUUUCCUUGCUUCAUCUAAGAGUAUUUGAUACUUGCUUUCGGUGCUCUUCAAUGUCUGCUUCAAUUGCUCAGCCUCCUCUUUUUUAUUCGCCAGUUCUGCUUGUGUUGAACUGAGCUUCUCCUUUGCUCGAUUGGCUUCAGUGGCAACUUCUGUGAGGGCUAAUGCUAGAUNNNNNNNNNNNNNNNNNNNNNNNNNNNNNNNNNNNNNNNNNNNNNNNNNNNNNNNNNNNNNNNNNNNNNNNNNNNNNNNNNNNNNNNNNNNNNNNNNNNNUUUUUUUAUAAAACAAAAGUAAGACAUUGCUUUUAAAAACAAUACAAAUUCUUUUAUCCAAACAAGUUUUUUGUUUUUUGUUUUAAAAAAACUUUUUUAAAAACAUUUUACCAAACACUUCUAUUUAAAAUAAAAAAUUAAAACUAUUUUUUAUUCUCUACAAGAACUAUUUUCGAAAACAGUCCGUGCUCAAAACCUUCUCACAAAGACACUUUUUUAUGAUGUAAAUGCAAAUUGUAUGUCCACAUUGUAAUAAAUUACAGUAGAAUGUUGGCAUUGUAAUUCAAACAUUUGCAAUUUUCAACAAACCCCAAAAAAAAAAAAAAAAAAAAAAAUUUACCAUUACAAUGCCAAAAUCUAUGAGGGUGGACCCAAAAUCUUAUUGGGCAUUCGGCUCAUUCAUACCUGCUUUCUGGUGAAAACUUCUUCUCCUGAUAAGGUCUCCAAACCUUCGGAGCAAUGCUUUCUUUUUUCUGUGUGAGCUCCUUUCAUGCUCUGCCUCAUCAAAAUGCUGCCCUUCUAGAUUAUCAAAAUCUUCUGAACAUAUUGUUUCUCCAUCAUCAGUGAAAAUGGAGGAAGACAUUUUCCGGUGAUGGUGCACCGGCAUAGGUGGUGAUUUUGUAUCAAAUAUGGAGCCCUUAAGUGCCUCCUCUAUGAGGAAAUCUUCAUCUUCAUCCUUGGGCUUAACUGGUAUUUUCAGCUCUUCUAGGUCAAAACUAAAGGUGUUCCUCGCUUUCUUACCAUCAUGAUGCUCCUUCAGGGGUGGUUUCUGUGCUUUAACUUCUGCCACCUCCUUGUCUUCUGCUUUCACCUUGGCUGUUGGUUUAUGAGUCUUAACCUCUG